CUCACCAUGGCCUGGACGCUCUUUCUCCUGGCACUUGUCACUUAUUGCUCAGGUGCCAGUUCCAAGCCAACAGCAACGGUGACUCAGCCUGCCAGCAUGUCUGUGUCUCUGGGCCAAACAGCGAAACUCUCCUGCACCAGAAGUAGUGCCUCCUGGAGCAACCACUAUGCCUGGUAUCAACAGAAACAGGGACACGUCCCUCGCUUCGUGCUCUAUCAAACCACCAGGAGGGGCGAAGGGAUCCCGGAUCGGUUCACUGGGACUUACUCUGGCAAUGUGGCCUAUUUAACCAUCACUAAUGUCCAGGCUGAAGAUGAAGCUGAUUAUUAUUGUCACGAUGAAUGGUACACUGGCAGUGGUUAUAUGUUUCACAAUGAUAUAGUCUAA